UACGUAGGGGGCAAGCGUUGUCCGGAUUUAUUGGGCGUAAAGAGCGUGUAGGCGGCCAGGUAGGUCCGUUGUGAAAACUCGAGGCUCAACCUCGAGACGUCGAUGGAAACCAUCUGGCUAGAGUCCGGAAGAGGAGAGUGGAAUUCCUGGUGUAGCGGUGAAAUGCGCAGAUAUCAGGAGGAACACCAGUGGCGAAGGCGCCGCUCUGGGCCGAGACUGACGCUGAGGAGCGAAAGCGUGGGUAGCAAACAGG
rnacentral:rRNA from 1 species